rnacentral:lncRNA from 1 species
GGCUCGGAAAUGAUGAAAAGUACAGGACUCACUGGGACCAAAAUUCAGAAAUUACAUGUUAAGGAAGAGAGGGCUGCUCCUCUAGCCUGUUCUCCUUAUGACCUUGUGGAACGGAAUUGCCUACCUGCCCUGGACUAUCCUAAGAUUGUCGUAUGGAGAGAAAUACAUUCUAUUUUAUUUAAACCUCUGUGUUUUGUGGCCUCUUUGUUACAGCAGCUUAGCCUAUACUAACACGGAGCCUUCUAGAAAGGCUGUCUUUCCAAAUACCUCAGGUUCAGUGGUAUUUCUGGUUUGGCUGCAGGGAGGAAUUGCUGGACAAAUCACAGGAAAGUCAUUCCUGAGAGAAUCCUGCCAAUGUCUGCCCUCCCAGCCCUCUCCCUCUGGUGGCUAAGAUCAUUCGGAUAACAGGCCGGAGUGAAGAGGGCCUGUCUGGACCUGGACUCAGGACCUUCCAAGCAUUCCCAUUUCAUUCCAGCCUUAACUGCACAAAAACAGUGCAAAUCAUGUAAACAUGAACACAACCACAAUAUCUAUAAAAAUCCUAAUAAACCUUGCAUUUUUCUCACCAUUCUUCUCAUCCCAGGUCUUGCAACACAUCAUUCCAGCCUCUGUGUCCCUACUUGAUCCAAGCCCAGCAUCAUUCCUUCCCUUCAGCACCAUUCCUGUGCCUCCAUUGGCCUCAGACCACUCAUCAAAUAAAGGACAGACUCCCAGCUCCUCAGCGUCCCCACUCUCCACACUGCAUGGCCUGGACAAUGGAAACCCAGUUGCUCUUUCACACCUUUCCUUGAAACUUCCUCUUCCCACCUCCCUCCACCACUGCUGAAAUUUCUCUAUAGCCUGGUGGUGCCUCCAGGUUCUGAAGCCAGAGCUGCUUCAGAACUGCUCUUCUGAUAAUUUCUCUCUCCAUCCCCAGCUCCUAGCAGCUUGCCUGGCACACAGUCAAUGUUGCAAGGCAUUUCUGAAUGAAAGAAUGCGGCACUUCAUUGUUUGCUAAACAGUUGCAGACACUUUGCAUCUGCACCAGAGGCCUAAGAGGUAUUAUCAUUUCCACUUCCCAGAUGGUAAAAUUGAGGCUCUGAGAGUGUAAAAGACUUGUCCAAAGUCCCCAGCUAUUAAGUAGCAACCUCAGCCCAGUGAUCUCCCAGUGACGUGCUGCUUCCCCAGCAGAGAGAACUCCUAGCCCUUUUCCAUUUUCAAACCACUUCCACAAACAAUGUUUCUGUGACCUCCACAAAGACCCCAUA